UACGUAGGGGCUAGCGUUGUCCGGAUUUACUGGGCGUAAAGGGUGCGUAGGUGGUUUCUUAAGUCAGAGGUGAAAGGCUACGGCUCAACCGUAGUAAGCCUUUGAAACUGGGAAACUUGAGUGCAGGAGAGGAGAGUGGAAUUCCUAGUGUAGCGGUGAAAUGCGUAGAUAUUAGGAGGAACACCAGUUGCGAAGGCGGCUCUCUGGACUGUAACUGACACUGAGGCACGAAAGCGUGGGGAGCAAACAGGAUUAGAUACCCCCGUAGUCCCUGAGCGGG
rnacentral:rRNA from 1 species